AUACUUACCUGGCAGGGGAGACACCAUGAUCGGGCAGGUGGUUUUCCUAGGGCGAGGCUUAUCCCUUGCAGUCCGGGUGUGCUGAUCCCUGCGAUUUCCCCAAAUGCGGGAAACUCGACUGCAUAAUUUGUGGUAGUGGGGGACUGCGUUCGCGCUCUCCCCUG
ensembl:snRNA U1 U1 spliceosomal RNA